UUUAGGGAAGUGCUGUGUUUAGAGAAGACUCCUUAAAUACUUUGCUUUAUAAAUUUCAUUUCCUAGUGCAGCCAUCUCAUUGCUGCUCUGUGCCUGAGACUUUUAUGCCUUUAGUCUGGAAACAACUGUUGCUACGGGACAUCCAUAAUGCAGAGUGCAGCAGUGAUUUGUGCCAGAGCUGCUGAGUGCUUUCAAAUGUGUCCACGAGGUCAGGACCAACAGGUCUGUGUGAGUCUUGCCACGAGAACAAUGCAAUGGGACACGGACGGAGGGGAGAAGAGGAGAGGACAGAGGCCUAAGAGGGAGAAGAAAGAAAAAGCAGGUCCAGAACCUGGGGAAUGGUGUGAUUUAUAAAAGUUUACACCUAGCCAGUGAAUGUGGCCUUACCCAUUGUGUGCAGAGUGAGCUGGGCUCCCCAGCUGGGGCUGCCUUUGGGGAAUUGUCUUCUCCUGGU